rnacentral:lncRNA from 1 species
ACUUUCCUUCAUUUUUUCUCCCCAUUUUUCCUCCACUUUCUUCCCAAUUUUCCCAUUUUUUUCCUCAUUUCUCUCCCCAAUUUUCCCUCAUUUUUCUACAAUUUUUCCUCCACCUUUCCCCCAUUUUUCCUGAUUUUUUCCUCCACCUUUCCCCCAUUUUUCCUGAUUUUUUCUCCCCAUUUUUCUCCAAUUUCUUCCCCAUUUCUCCCCAUUUUCUCUCCAAUUUCUUCCCCAUUUUUUCCCACAUUUCUCCUCCAUUUUUCCCCAAUUUUUCUCCCCCAUUUUCUCCUCUAUUUUCUUUCACAUUUUCCCUCUGAUUUUCCUCCAUUUUCUCCCCGAUUUUCCUCAUUUUUACCCCAAUUUUCGCAGUUUCUUCUCUCUUUUUUUCCCCAAUUUUUUCCCCAAAUUUUCCCCCACUCUCCACUUUCCUCACGUUUUCUCCCCAAUUUUCUCUCAAUUUCUCCCACAUUUUCUCCUCGUUUCUCUCCCCAAUUUUCCCCAAUUUUCACACUUCCUUCUCUCUUUUUCUCCCCAAUUUUCGCCCCAUCCUCUCCCUAUUCCCUCCCCAUCUCGGCAC